AGCCAAAGGACGGAGGCUCAGCCACACACAGACCGAAAUAAGGAGAUCAAGCAAAUCCUGGGGGAAAAAAAUGAAACCGUGAAGGACUGGGUGAAUUUUCUCCUAAUUGUGAUCCUGGAGGACCUCAAGCCCCCAAGCGCACUCGCCUUGUGGACAUCACAACGCCUUCCUUGAGGAAAUAGGGACAUUAUAGGAAAAGAUGCCGGCAGUGAAAUGCAACCGAGCCUUGCUGAUAUUUCCCCGGAAUUCACCCAAAUUCCUACUUUCCUCCAAAACAAACCUGCCUCCCAACCGACGGCUCCUAGCAGCGGUGCGGAGGGUGAAGGGGCAGAAUCUGAGCCCAGGGAGGCAUUUUAAAGGAGUCGGCUCCGUCCUUUGCAGCUCGUAAAUAAAAGCAUUCCUCGCCGCGGCUGGUCAUGACCAUGAACGCGGGGAAGCGGCAGCACGUGACAAAAUAGCAACCGAGCGACAACGUGGCUCUUUGGAGGGAUCCCAGGGAAGAUAAGAUGCGACUCGCUCAAACAGACUCCAACAGGCU